GGAACUCUGCCAAAGGCCCUGGUGAGAACGGAGGAGUUCGCUGUCCAUUCCUUCCAGUGACGUUGAAUCACCUGACUGGGGCUGAAGUAGCAACCAGGUGGUUAGGCCCACCUUUGUGAGUCAAGCAUUUUCUAUGGCGUGGGCUCAACCAAGCACCCGCAGCACCUCUGCUUCUCAGCUAUGAAGUGUGAUGCGAACGGCUCCCAGGAGGUGUACAGUGUACGUCCGUAUGUGGCAACCUGCCUACCUUCAGUGGAAGGCGGAUGGAGACUUGCCUGGGAUAAACCUAGGUGCACGUGAAGAUUCUUGGUAAUAUCCAGACACCAUCUCUUCCUCUUCAACUCCAAGAACCAUCUCUUCAUGUUAUUUAUUGUGAAAUGUGCCAUUCUUGCUUAGUUUCUUAUUUCCCACCGCAAAAAAAGACCUGCCGACUUCUCCUGAUCUUCCUUUGGAUGCUCUCCUGUCCGUGUGGUCUGCCUGCAAAUUUACCAAGGGGAACCUAGGGGUAGAUAGCCAUAAUCACUGCAUUCCUGAAUUAUGAUUGCUUUCAAUGCUGACCACAGUCCUGCCUUCCACACACCACACCAGUGGGGAGCACAGGAAAGGGGCCUGUGAGCAGAGUGAGAAGAGCGGCCCCCUUCAUACAAGAUACAUCCAUCCCUUGUUCUCCAUGGCUUAAGACAGAUGAGAGCACCAUGUCAUCACACUGAUUGGAGGCAUGAAAAGUACAUCAAUGGAAAGAGCACAUCGGCAUUGCAGAUCAGCAUCUCAAAAGUCCUUGGAGGAAACAGGCAUGGCCGCUUCUGCCAAAGGGAGUGAGGUGACCACCCUGGGGGCUAGCUGGGGAAGGGACAGCAGGACACACAGAGUAAAGGACAUCUGCUGCCCUUUUCUCCCAUUUCCCUGGCUGCAGUAGGUCAGAGGGGCAGUGUGGUCUGAACAGAGAGGUGCAAGCCAAUACCUGGGUCCACGCUUGCAGCUCAAGCGUCUGCAAUGGAUUGUUGGUGGCUCACAAUCUUAAACCCAGCCUGGUUCCAAAGUGAGUGAGAAUCAUCUAAAUCAGCAUACUAAAACUAUUUUGGCAGCCCAGUCUUGCACAAAUGGUGAAAGAACUACUGUAUCAGAUAGCAAGAGUGAGGUCCUUGCCUGGCUGUCCUCUUGGAACCAGAGCUGGCUAUGGGGCUCCAUGAUAUGAAUCCUGGAGUAUCUCAGGGCAUCUGGUCAACCCCACACAUGAGUGAGAGAGGGCUGGGGGUAAGAUAGAGGGUUGAAGAGUUCUUCAAAGAAAAGAAAUGGAGAAUGAGACCCACCGGGUAUGGACAUGGUCUGGGACGGGGUAGCUGUUCCUGGACGGCACCUCUGGCCAGCCCCAACCACUGAAGUGAGACUUAGAAGAUUUCAAGGUAGAAAUUUCUGGCCAACAGGACCCACAUGGGGCCUGGUCUGGAUUGGGGCACCUGGCCAAGAUGUCACUGGUGGUCUUGGAGGGGCACUCAGAAAAUUUUGGGGAAUACCAAUCCAAAAUGCAGUACCACUUGAGGCACAAGGUCUGGGGCAGGGGACCUCUUACCUAGAUCUAAUGAUAUUUUCUACCUCUACCACUGGAUAUUAUUCACUAAGACUUAACGGUCCAGCAAGAAACUGGGUUCAACGCUGAGCCAAUGAAUCUUCCAACCACCCACCCAUCCAUCCAACAAAUGUUCGUUGAGCACAUAACACUGUGCUAGUGUUGCGUUAGGUUCAGGAGAAAUAGAAGUGGAUCUUCUUAACCAUUAUCCACACCAAGCUAGUUCUGUACAACUGAAAAAGGAAGAAAAGGAAAAAAAAAACUGGCUACAGAUGACAUACCUCUCAUACAUCUGUUCAGUUAAACACUUUUCUCAAUUAUGGCUUUCGAAAACUGUUCCAGUUACUAUGGUUCCACACAAUUUACCCCAAAACUUAGUGGCUUAAAACAAUGACAAUAUUUAUUUUGCUCAUGAAUCUGCUAUUCGGGCUGGGGUUAUCUUGUCUCUGCUUUGCUUGCUUUCAGGUGAGUUGGCUUGAAGCCUGGGGACUGGAAUCAUCUGAAGCCUUCCUCACUCACAUGUCUGGCCAUUGGUGUUGUCAGCUGAGACAGGUCAUCUCAGGUUGUCAGCUGGAACAUCUCCACAUGCUCUCUUCAUGUGGUCUGAGCUUCCUCCCAGUAUGGUGACUGGGUACUGAGGGUGAGCAUUGCAAAAGGGGGUAAGCCAGGUGGAAGCUGAAUCCUCUUUAUGACCUAGCCCCAGAAGUCACCAAGCAUUACUUCUGCCCUAUUGGCCAGAACAGUCACAGCAGCCAACCAGACUCAAGGAGAGGGAAUAUGGAUCCAUCUCUCAGUGGCAAGAUGUUGGUUACAUUGUAAGAAGAACUGGGGGAUGGAUUAUAUAUAUUGGUGAGGUCAAUUCAGGAAAAAAGUGCCACAUAAGGUUGAUACAACUGCUCCAUUUUUUUUUUCCUUUUUCAAAUGCAAUACCUUUUAAUACACAGUAAUUAAGUACAUGAUACAAAGUGAUUAUUCUGACAGUACAGUUUCAGAUGAAGACAAUUCCCCAAUUCAUUCUACUUUUAUAGUUAGAAUUUACGAUGCAGAACAGAUUUGAAUUGUGCCCUGUUUGGAUAAUCCAAAUGUUUUAUUCUGUAUAGCAUUUCAUAUGUCUCUUCAGUCCAUUGUGCAUGCACACUUUUCGCAUAUGUUUCAAAGUGUUCUGAUGUUUAAUUUUCC